UACGAAGGGUGCAAACGUUGCUCGGAAUUACUGGGCGUAAAGCGCGUGUAGGCUGCUUCGAAAGUCGGAUGUGAAAGCCCUGGGCUCAACCUAGGAAGUGCAUUCGAAACUUCGAAGCUGGAGUCCUGGAGAGGAAGGCGGAAUUCUCGGUGUAGAGGUGAAAUUCGUAGAUAUCGAGAGGAACACCGGUGGCGAAGGCGGCCUUCUGGACAGUGACUGACGCUGAGACGCGAAAGCGUGGGGAGCAAACAGG
rnacentral:rRNA from 1 species